rnacentral:rRNA from 1 species
AACGAACGCUGGCGGCGUGCUUAACACAUGCAAGUCGAACGAGAAAGUUUUCUUCGGAAAACGAGUAAAGUGGCGCACGGGUGAGUAACGCGUAGAUAACCUGCCCUUGUGUCUGGGAUAACCCACCGAAAGGUGGACUAAUACCGGAUACGCUGAUCAACCAUAAGGUUGAUCAUGAAAGAUGGCCUCUGAUGUAAGCUAUCGCACAGGGAGGGGUCUGCGUACCAUUAGCUUGUUGGUGGGGUAAUGGCCUACCAAGGCGACGAUGGUUAGCGGGUCUGAGAGGAUGAUCCGUCACACUGGCACUGGAACACGGGCCAGACUCCUACGGGAGGCAGCAGUGAGGAAUAUUGCGCAAUGGGGGAAACCCUGACGCAGCGACGCCGCGUGAGUGAGGAAGGCCUUCGGGUCGUAAAACUCUGUCAGAAGGGAAGAAGUGCUAUGCGGUUAAUACCCGUAUAGUUUGACGGUACCUUCAAAGGAAGCACCGGCUAACUCCGUGCCAGCAGCCGCGGUAAUACGGAGGGUGCAAGCGUUGUUCGGAAUCACUGGGCGUAAAGGGCGCGCAGGCGGUUUGGUAAGUCAGAUGUGAAAGCCCACGGCUUAACCGUGGAAGUGCAUUUGAAACUGUCAGACUUGAGUACCAGAGGGGAAAGUGGAAUUCCCGGUGUAGAGGUGAAAUUCGUAGAUAUCGGGAGGAAUACCGGUGGCGAAGGCGACUUUCUGGCUGGAUACUGACGCUGAGGCGCGAAAGCGUGGGGAGCAAACAGGAUUAGAUACCCUGGUAGUCCACGCCGUAAACGAUGUCAACUAGGUGUAGGGGGUGUUGAUCCCCUCUGUGCCGCAGCUAACGCAUUAAGUUGACCGCCUGGGGAGUACGGUCGCAAGAUUAAAACUCAAAGGAAUUGACGG